GCCUUUUCUAGGGCCACUUCCUGCGGCAUAUGAAGGUUCCCAGGCUAGGGGUCUAAUCAGAGCUGUAGACGCUGGCCUACACCAGAGCCACAGCAAUGCCAGAUCUGAGCCGCGUCUGCGACCUACACCACAGCUCACGGCAACGCCGGAUCGUUAACCCACUGAGCAAGGCCAGGGAUGGAACCCACAACCUCAUGGUUCCUAGUUGAAUUCAUUAACCACUGCACCAUGACGGGAACUCCCCAGAAGAUUUUUUUAUGAUGCUGUACUAGUUUCAUUAAAACUCUCUGCAACAGUCAGUUUUCAUGAUUAUGUAAUUGUGAGUCUGAACUGAUACUACCCACCAACUCUAGACACUAACAAGCAUCCUUUGAAAAUGUGUAACUUCGCUUCAGCCAGUCGUCUUUUGGUUAUUAAAAAAAAAUCAAAAUAGCUUAAGCAAAAGUAAAGAAUCUUCUGGCUCAGCUAAUAAAGUAGUCUAGAUGGGAGGCAGAGACAGAUCAAGAGGAUCAAUUAUUAUCUUCAGGCAUCUUUCUCCCUUUUCUUCUUUCCUGAAUUGUGAUUUCAUUUUUAAGUAGACUUUUUCAAAGGGGCAGCAGACACUUCUCCUAACAACACAGUUUUAUAGAGGCCUUUCUCGCAGCAUUUAUUUCACUUACCCCAAAAGGAUUCCUACUGGCAUCAGUGGACCAUGCCCUACUGUGCUGCCAGAAGAAUCUCUGUGUCUAGAGGGACAUGCUUUCUGAUUGGCAGGACUGGGUGAAGGAGGAAGAUGGAAAUCAUGGAACCACCUCUGGAGUUUCUUUCUUCCCUCUAACCCCAACCUUUGAGGAAGAAAGGGUGCUCACAUAAUCCCAAACCUUAUAGGCUAAACUUGAAUAUUAUAAAGUGAUAAAGGAUUGCUCUCCCACAGGACUUACAGAAUGAAAAAAAAAUGGCAUUUGCUCCAAGCUUCAACAUAAACUUUCUGAAGUGACACAAUGGAAAAAAUAUUUGCAACAUACCUGAAUGACAGAUGGUUGACAUCCUAACAUGUAAGGAGUUAUGAACUAGAGAAGAAAAAGAUCAUCCACAUAGAAGAAGGAGUAGAGAUACGAACAGAAAACCCACAAAAACUAAAACACAAAUGGCAUUUAAACACCUGAAAAUACGUUCUACUUUGCUCAUAAGAGAAAUGUGAGUUAAACUGCACUAAGCUGCUGUUUCUCACCUAACAAAUCGGAAAAAAAUCAAAAAGUUUGGAAAAGCUACUGGAAAAAUAGUAGGGAGAUAGUCACUAACAUGUACACACAACACACACCCAUAUGCACACGUAUAUAUGUAUGUGUGUGUGUUUAAAUUUAUCUGCUCAGGGCAGGGAGAAAAGAAGAAUGGAAUGGACAAAAAUGGGUAUCUGAUAGAUUUGACUUCUGAAUCAUGUGAAUGUUUUACAAAUUAUUUUCUAGCUACAAAAACAUCAUCUUGAAAUAGCAAAUCAUUUUCCGUAUAUCAACAAAUGACAUAAAAUUCACAUGGAAACACAAUAAGAAGAAGAAAAAAGUUGGAAGCCUGACAAUAUUCAACUUCAGGACUUACUAUAAAGCUAUAGUAAUCCAGACAGCUUGGUAUUGGUGAAAGAAUGGACACACAGAUCUAUGGAACAGAAUAGAGAACCCAGAAAUAGAUACACCAAAUACAGCCAACUGAGCUUUGAAAAGGAGCAAAAGCAAUACAAUGAAGAAAGAAUAGCUUGGGGAGAAUAUUUGCAAACCAUGGAUCUGAUAAACAAGAGGUGGGAAAGUUUGAAUAAUUAAAGCUCAGGGGGGUUUUAGGAGAAUAAAAUUAUUCUGUGUGAUAUUUUGAGGAUGGAUCUACACCACCCAUUUAUCAAAACACGUAACACAAAGAGUGAACCCUAAUGUACGUACAUUUCCAAAAGUCACUGAGGAAGCUGGGGGAUCCCAAGAAGCAGUGCAUUCUGUGACAAGAGAAUCUAACUGUAUUACAAAUACAUGAAACAACAUCCCUGAAGCGUGUUGGGGCAAAGGGUGUCAAUUUGAGCAAUUCUGGAAAUGAACAGAAUCUGUAAGACUAAGGCCAAAAGGGACUGCAUAUAAAACCGUGUAUCCUAGGUGAUCAAGUUGUUUCCCAGGAAGAUAGGAACUGCUACACAUGUUUACUACAAAUGAAUAAUUGAGUAAAUUAAGGUAGAUGUCAGGAGCCAACUUUCUCACAGAGUAGAAAUUGACAGGUAAGCAAAAGGCAGUGGUUAGAAUGAUCCAUGUGGAAACAGAUUAGAGUUGGCAGCAUCAGUAUAAACUCGUAUUUAGCUUACUGUGCCUAUACAGAAGUUAGGUUUCAUACAUGUAUCUCUUUGCUCUGUUAGCUGAGAAGCUCUAAAACAAACUCCACCCAAAGAGCAAUGAGCAUGCCUCGUGCUCAGGUCUUGGUUUUUAAUACUAAUUUCCAAUCAAAGGAACUGGGACUCUUUAGAGAAAAGGAAGACCCUAGAACUAGGGCAGGAAAUACAUGAUAGUAAAGAAUCAUGUGGUAAGGAAGUGCUAAAAAAAUUAAAAUUUGAUGCAGAUAGGCCAAGGGGACACAGGAGCCAACGGAAAGAACUCCCAAUAGCCAAAGCUGGAAAAGUGUGAACAAACAAAACACAUAAAAUAGUACUGGGUAAUAAUCCUAAGUAGAAAAUAUACAUGCAUGAGUCAAUACCAAUAUAAAAAAUAACUGAAUAAACUAAUAAAUGGGAACAGAGAGACAAAUAUGGUAUUCAUUUAAGAAUAAUGAUGAACCCAUUAUAUGUUAAGGUAAAUAGUUUAUUUUUAUGAAAAAUGGCUAUUUUUCCAAAUGAGAAAAAAAAAGAUUGGAUUGUUUGACAUUUCUGAAAUUCUCUUUAAUAUACGGUUCAGUAGAAGAGAACUUGAUUCUCAUAUAUGCUACGGCAUGUAAUCUAUGGUGAUACCACAUGCCAAGUAGAUUCUAGAAAAAUUCCACUGUAUACUUAUAAAAGAAUGAGAAUGGGAGUUCCUGUUGCGGCUCAGUGUAUGACGAAUCUGACUAGCAUCCAUGAGGAUGCAAGUUUGAUCCCUCGCCUUGCUCACUGGGUUAAGGAUCUGGCGUUGCCAUGAGGUGAGAUGUAGGUUGCAGACACAGCUCAGAUCCUGCAUGGCUAUGGCUGUGGCAUAGGCCAGCAGCUACAGCUCUGAUUUGACCGCUAGCCUGGGAACCUUCGUAUGCUGUAGGUGUGAACCUAAAAAACAACAACAACAAAAAAAAGAAUGAGAAUGAAAGAAACAAUUUGCAUGUUAGCAUUAUUAUAAAAAGUCUUCAUCUCACGAAUCCCUUGAAUGUGCCUCAGAAACUCCCUGCCAUGUGUCCCCAGACCACACUUUGAGAAAUGCUGCUCUAAAAUGAAUUACCAAUUUACAAGAUACACAGAGGACCACAGUAAAUAACACCACAGGAAGACCGUCAGCCAAACACAGAACAGGGGAAACCACAGGACAAUGACCUAGUUUCUUCAACAAAUUAUGAAAAAACAGACUACGGGGGACACUUAAAAGACUGAGACAUCAAAUACAAUGUGAAGAUAUUGUUUGAACCCUGAUUUGAACAAACAUUUUAAAAAAAGGAUUUAUGAGACAAUUGGUGAAAUUUAAACACUAAUUAGAUAUUUUAUAACAUUUAAAAAUUGGUAACAUCUUUCAAAUGGAAUAUCGACAUUCUGGUUGCAUUUACCAAAAAUGCUUAUAUUUUAGAAUGUAAGCAUGGUUUACUGAAAUAAUUACAGAUAAAAUGAUCUGUGAUUUGAGACUUGCUUCACUGGCAUGGAGGGGAGAAUGAACACGGACAGGAGACGAGGGUGGGUGAUGAAUUCACAUGCUUCAUUGCACUAUUAUCUCUACUUGUGUAAUGUUUCAAUUUUCCAAAAUCAAAAAGUAAAGAAAAGAGAAGCUGAAGUCUCCAGAUAGGUCCAUGGAACUUGGCUCUCAGCAGGCCUAUGCCUUUCUGAAGUCCCCACGUGUAUGCUGAACAAGAGGGGAGUCAGUUUCAACGUGCCACAGGAUAGCCACUGACUCAGAAAUGACUAUUCAAGGAGACACAAAAGGAUUUUUGCUAAUUUCUACAUAAGAAAAGCAGGCUGAACUAUGUUAAGUGAGCCCUUAUUCUGAUUGUUUUUAUGACAAUAGGCCUUUGAAGCGUUUCUCCUCUGUGCUAUAACACAGGAUUGGGGACCAGAAAGGGGCUGUGAGUAGGAGAGGUACAUGGAAGAAGCAGGACUACUGGAUGCCAUGACUUAAACACUCUUUGGGUAAAUUUUGGGAGACACUGGAUUACAAAAACAUUUUAUGACAUCCAUGCCAAAUAAGGAAUUAUAUAUGUAAAAAUUCUUUAUGAUGAAAAAUAUCACAAAUAUGUUUUAAUCAAAGUAAUGGAUUGUAAGACUGUUUGUGUAACAUCUCUAAUAAAGGGUUGAUAUCCAUAAUAUAAAUAGCAUUUAUCAGGAU
rnacentral:lncRNA from 1 species